rnacentral:misc_RNA from 1 species
UCGAAUCCUGCAAAGCAGACGACCGCGAACUCGUGACACCGCACGGGUGCCGGUGGGAGCGGGUUGGGACAAAACCCUCCCGUCCCAGCGCCGGCGCCCCCCGCGCGCUCGUCGCGCGGACACUAACUCAACCCCGGCGCGGAAAGCGCCAAGGAAAACUGAAUUUGGAUGGCCCGCCUCCCCGUUCGCGGGGGGUGCCGCGGCGUCUGUCGUAACCAAAACGACUCUCGGCAACGGAUAUCUCGGCUCUCGCAUCGAUGAAGAACGUAGCGAAAUGCGAUACUUGGUGUGAAUUGCAGAAUCCCGUGAACCAUCGAGUCUUUGAACGCAAGUUGCGCCCGAAGCCAUUAGGCCGAGGGCACGUCUGCCUGGGCGUCACGCAUCGCGUCGCCACCCCCAUCGCGGGGCGGCGGAAAAUGGCCUCCCGUUCCGCGAGGCGCGGCCGGCCCAAACGCGAGUCCUCGGCGAGGGACGUCACGACAAGUGGUGGUUGAAUGCCUCAACUCGAGUCCUGUCGUGCCGGCGAAUCCCCCCGUUGUCUCGGACUCCCACGACCCCACGGCGCGCGUCACGGCGCGAGCCUCGACCGCGACCC